GACGGAGGGUGCAAGCGUUGUUCGGAUUGACUGGGCGUAAAGGGCGUGUAGGCGGUUGGUCAAGUCCGAUGUGAAAGCCCGGGGCUCAGCUUCGGAAGUGCAUCGGAAACUAGCCAGCUGGAGCGCGAUAGAGGAGGGCGGAAUUCCUGGUGUAGCGGUGAAAUGCGCAGAUAUCAGGAAGAACACCCGUGGCGAAGGCGGCUCUCUGGGACGGUACUGACGCUGAGACGCGAAAGCGUGGGGAGCGAACAGG
rnacentral:rRNA from 1 species